rnacentral:rRNA from 1 species
UACAGAGGUGGCAAGCGUUGUUCGGAAUUACUGGGCGUAAAGGGCGCGUAGGCGGUCGGGAAAGUCCUGUGUGAAAUCCCUCGGCUCAACUGAGGAACUGCACAGGAAACUGCUCGACUUGAGUUCGGGAGAGGGAAGCGGAAUUCCGGGUGUAGCGGUGAAAUGCGUAGAUAUCCGGAGGAACACCGGUGGCGAAGGCGGCUUCCUGGACCGACACUGACGCUGAGGCGCGAAAGCUAGGGGAGCAAACGGG